UACGGAAGGCAGCAGUAAGGAAUAUUGGUCAAUGGGCGCAAGCCUGAACCAGCCAUGCCGCGUGCAGGAAGACGGCCCUCCGGGUUGUAAACUGCUUUUAUACCGGAAUAAACCUCCCUACGUGUAGGGAGCUGAAUGUACGGUAGGAAUAAGGAUCGGCUAACUCCGUGCCAGCAGCCGCGGUAAUACGGAGGAUCCGAGCGUUAUCCGGAUUUAUUGGGUUUAAAGGUGCGUAGGCGGCCUGUUAAGUCAGGGGUGAAAGACGGUGGCUCAACCAUCGCAGUGCCCCUUGAUACUGACGGGCUUGAAUUAACUAGAGGCAGGCGGAAUGUGACAAGUAGCGGUGAAAUGCAUAGAUAUGUCACAGAACACCGAUUGCGAAGGCAGCUUGCUAUGGUUAUAUUGACGCUGAGGCACGAAAGCUGGGGAUCAAACAGGAUUAGAUACC
rnacentral:rRNA from 1 species